UUGAUGGUAAGAGAUGAAUAAACAGACUUGC
rnacentral:piRNA from 1 species